GAUGAAGAACGUAGCGAAAUGCGAUAAGUAAUGUGAAUUGCAGAAUUCAGUGAAUCAUCGAAUCUUUGAACGCACCUUGCGCUCCUUGGUAUUCCGAGGAGCAUGCCUGUUUGAGUGUCAUUAAAUUCUCAAUCUCAACAUUCUUGUAAUGUUUUGCAGAUUGGAUGGUGGGGGUUUAUUUGUGGGGUCUUUUACAAGUUCCACUCCCCUGAAAUUUAUUAGCUGGAAUGCCUUUGCAAACCCAACUAUCAGUAUGAUAAUUAUCUAUGCUGGAGUUGAUGUGAUAGGGAAUCUGCUUCUCAAUCGUCUUUUUCACAAGACAACUUUGAACCAUUUUGACCUCAAAUCAGGUAGGACUACCCGCUGAACUUAAGCAUAUCAAUAAGCGGAGGA
rnacentral:misc_RNA from 1 species